GACGAACGCUGGCGGCGUGCCUAAUACAUGCAAGUAGAGCGCUGAAGCUUGGUGCUUGCCCCGAGCGGAUGAGUUGCGAACGGGUGAGUAACGCGUAGGUAACCUGCCUGGUAGCGGGGGAUAACUAUUGGAAACGAUAGCUAAUACCGCAUAAGAGUAGAUGUUGCAUGACAUUUGCUUAAAAGGUGCAAUUGCAUCACUACCAGAUGGACCUGCGUUGUAUUAGCUAGUUGGUGAGGUAACGGCUCACCAAGGCAACGAUACAUAGCCGACCUGAGAGGGUGAUCGGCCACACUGGGACUGAGACACGGCCCAGACUCCUACGGGAGGCAGCAGUAGGGAAUCUUCGGCAAUGGACGGAAGUCUGACCGAGCAACGCCGCGGGAGUGAAGAAGGUUUUCGGAUCGUAAAGCUCUGUUGUAAGAGAAGAACGAGUGUGAGAGUGGAAAGUUCACACUGUGACGGUAUCUUACCAGAAAGGGACGGCUAACUACGUG
rnacentral:rRNA from 1 species